UACAUGGGGUGCAAACGUUGCUCGGAAUUAUUGGGCGUAAAGCGCACGUAGGUGGUCUGUUAUGUCAGAUGUGAAAUCCCCGGGCUUAACCUGGGAACUGCAUUGGUGACUGGCGGGCUAGAGUAUGGCAGAGGGGGGUAGAAUUCCACGUGUAGCAGUGAAAUGCGUAGAGAUGUGGAGGAAUACCGAUGGCGAAGGCAGCCCCCUGGGCCAAUACUGACGCUCAUGCACGAAAGCGUGGGGAGCAAACAGG
rnacentral:rRNA from 1 species